AAUGAACGCUGGCGGCGCGCCUAAUACAUGCAAGUCGAGCGAGAAGACGUAGCAAUACGUUUGUAAAGCGGCGAACGGGUGAGGAAUACAUGGGUAACCUACCCUCGAGUGGGGAAUAACUAGCCGAAAGGUUAGCUAAUACCGCGUACGCUCCUUGGACUUCGGUUCAGGGAGGAAAGCGAUACCAUGGGUAUCGCGCUCUUGGUUGGGCUCAUGUCCUAUCAGCUUGUUGGGAGGUAACGGCUCACCAAGGCUUCGACGGGUAGCUGGUCUGAGAGGACGAUCAGCCACACUGGCACUGCGACACGGGCCAGACUCCUACGGGAGGCAGCAGUAAGGAAUAUUGCGCAAUGGGCGAAAGCCUGACGCAGCGACGCCGC
rnacentral:rRNA from 1 species